rnacentral:rRNA from 1 species
AUGGGGCACCUGAUCAUCAAUGCCGCGUGUGUGAAGAAGGCCUUCGGGUUGUAAAGCACUUUUGUCAGGAACGAAACGGUGGGGGCUAAUAUCCUCUGCUAAUGACGGUACCUGAAGAAUAAGCACCGGCUAACCACGUGCCAGCAGCCGCGGUAAUACGUAGGGUGCGAGCGUUAAUCGGAAUUACUGGGCGUAAAGCGUGCGCAGGCGGUUGUGCAAGACAGAUGUGAAAUCCCCGGGCUUAACCUGGGAAUUGCAUUUGUGACUGCACGGCUAGAGUGUGUCAGAGGGGGGUAGAAUUCCACGUGUAGCAGUGAAAUGCGUAGAUAUGUGGAGGAAUACCGAUGGCGAAGGCAGCCCCCUGGGAUAACACUGACGCUCAUGCACGAAAGCGUGGGGAGCAAACAGGAUUAGAUACCCUGGUAGUCCACGCCCUAGACGAUGUCUACUAGUUGUCGGGUCUUAAUUGACUUGGUAACGCAGCUAACGCGUGAAGUAGACCGCCUGGGGAGUACGGUCGCAAGAUU